UGGUUCGAUCAAACAGAAGGAGGAGGGCGACCCCCACUCUCAAAACCCUAGCAACUCACUAAUCUCACAAAUUGAAGGCUCAAACCAAGUUAAAAUCGAAAAUCGAGCAUAGAUUAUUGAUCCCCAUUGCAAGGGGGUUGUAAGAUAUGAUAUGGUAGUUUGACUCUGACAAGCUAGGUAGGAGCUUGGAAAUGAACGGGUCAAACGGAUACAAGUUCAAGUAUGAAGCUCGCAAGGAUGCAAGGAGUAGAUAUCCAAUGGAUACUCGAAUCGCUCUUAAUUAGCAAUUAUAAAGCAAAGUAUUAAACCGGGUUAGUAAGUUGAUCCGAGCCAGGUAUGUAUAAUAGAUUAACUCAUCAUGUAGAAUUUGAAGUUCUAUGAAAGUUAGGCAAAAUAAAAAAAGGGCAUUCGGUUACCUUAAUAGGUAAACCGAAGAAUUUAAAUUAUUUAGACAGAAUGUUUUGAAAACAAGAUUUGGUUAAAAAUGAGAAAUUAGAAUCAAACAACAGGUUUGUUUGAUAAAAUCACGAACGGGUCAAAUUUGGUAAAAAGGGGUAAUAAGCCGAAGACUUAAAAGUCUUAAAUUUUGUUAAUCCAGAUGUUGGGUCUUCACUCCAUUUGAUGGAGGUUCAAUUUACAAUCACGUAGGAAGAAACGGUAGGUCAAACGGACAAGCGGAUUGAAAGUUAUGAAGGUUUCCGUUUUAGAAAUCGGCAAACUUGGAAAAUCUUGCAGAGGCCACCGUAAGUUACGGUAGCUACCGUAACUUACGGUAGCCUUAAAAAUCUUUACGCCUUAAACCCACUGAGUUACGGUGGAAGAAUCAACAUUCAGGGGCUACCGUAAAUUACGGUAGCCACCGUAAUUUACGGUAGACCCUGUAACAAAAUUUAUUUUAAUCAGUUUCGUUUCCCAGAACUCGUUAGACACGUUUAUAACCCCCGUAAGACUAAAGCAUUUCUUGUUUAUGAAAUGUAGGUACAUUUUGGAUGCCGGAAGACGAUCAAGCUCAUUGGAGAACCGAACACGAUAAAGAUACAUGCUUCCGCACAGUGUCCCGUCGUAAAUUUUAAACGACGAAUUCAAUUACGUUAUGUCGAAUAACUUAUGAUUUGUAAAAGUUUUAAUAAACCCAUAUUUUUAUAGUAUGUGUAGUCUUAUCUACACAACUAAUUGUUGGUAAUUAUAU
rnacentral:lncRNA from 1 species